rnacentral:rRNA from 1 species
UACGUAGGGUGCGAGCGUUAAUCGGAAUUACUGGGCGUAAAGCGUGCGCAGGCGGUUUUGUAAGCCGGAUGUGAAAUCCCCGGGCUUAACCUGGGAAUGGCAUUCGGGACUGCAAGGCUGGAGUGCGGCAGAGGAGACUGGAAUUCCUGGUGUAGCAGUGAAAUGCGUAGAUAUCAGGAGGAACACCGAUGGCGAAGGCAGGUCUCUGGGCUGACACUGACGCUCAUGCACGAAAGCCAGGGGAGCGAACGGG